GGUCUUACGGGAAAAGAAGAAAGUCAUUGACAACCUUUCGGCAGAACAGCUCACAAUCAAAAGAGCAUUUUCAAGACACCGAUUUACUCCCUGUUUUGGUGGUACUGACAUUUAACAAUGCAAGUGAAUCGUCCUGUACUGACUCUUUGCCUUCUUGGCACAGUUGUCCUGUGUGUAGUGGCAAACUCAACACAGGCUCCUCAAAUUACCGAAUCUCUACCAACUACCAUGAAUCCCACGACCACAACUCUUCCAUCCACCGCUUCCACAAGUGGUCCAGCUAUCACUGGUCCAGCUAUCACUUCCACAAGUGGUCCAGCUACCACUGGUCCAGCUAACACUUCCACAAGUGGUCCAGCUACCACUGGUCCAGCUACCACUUCCACAACUGGUCCAGCUACCACUUCCACAACUGGUCCAGCUACCACUUCCACAAAUGCAACAGCUACAACUACAAACAAACCCAGCACCACUCCUCUAGAAACUGAGCCUGUGGGAGGACUUUCAUCUGGUGCUAUAGCCGGUAUUACCGUUGGCUCUAUUGCUGGGGUGGCUGCUGUUGGUGGUGGUAUAUUUGGUGCGCUGAAGUACACUGGGAGGAUCUGAAAUCAAUUAUUGCCAUACAAGGGUAUAAAUAGUUAUGGGUUGUAAGCACAAAUAGAUGAAAUCCAGACCGUGUUAACUGAAGAAUAAAAAACUCCAAAUGUUUGAAAGGCUCAACAUUAUAUAUGUAGAAUAACAUUAUAUAUGUAAUAUGAUAAGGAUGUCAUGGGCCCAGAGGAAGACAUAAAAGGAAAACAUUUGAAUGUUGUCUGGCUGUAGGUCAGGAAGUAAACUUUGGUGGAUCAAAAGACUACAAUGAAAUAUGCAAUAUACUUUUAGUGUAAACUAUAGUGGAAACUCCUUGUCUAAUGGAUUAAAUUGCCUGGGUUCAAUUGUGUUUGAUUUUAAUUUUUUUUUUUUACAAUGUCUUACAUAUCGGAUUACUUUGGUCUUUUGGAUUUAAAGAGUGCAUGGUGUGUGUAAAAUGUGCAGCUAGUUCAAUACUGAUGACAUUAUUUUUUAAUCAGUAACUGGGCUUUUAUACCCAAAUUCUGUAUUCACAUCAAAUUCACAUUUAAAUAAAGAACUGUUCCCCGUA